GGUCAAGCUACAAAGGGCGCACGGCGGAUGCCUAGGCGUCACGGGCCGAUGAAGGACGUGGCAAGACUGCGAAAAGCUCCGGCUAGCUGUCUAGCAAGCUCAACCGGAGAUCUCCGAAUGGGGCAACCCGGCCCGCUUUAUCGCGGGUCACGACCGGCUGAACACAUAGGCCGGAUCGAGGGAACCGGGGGAACUGAAACAUCUCAGUACCCCGAGGAAAAGAAACGAUUCCCCUAGUAGCGGCGAGCGAACGGGGAGAAGCCCAAACCGUCCUCUACGGAGGGCGGGGUUGCAGGACCGGCAGAACGGAGCACGGCAUGGAUAGCCGAAGGACCUGGAACGGUCCGCCACAGGGGGUGAGAGUCCCGUAGGCGAAAUCCAUCCGGCCCAGGCCGGGAUCCUGAGUACCUCGGGACACGAGAAAUCCCGUGGGAAGCUGGGGAGACCACUCUCCAAGGCUAAAUACCCGUGGCGACCGAUAGUGAACCAGUACCGUGAGGGAAAGGUGAAAAGCACCCCGGAAGGGGAGUGAAAUAGUCCCUGAAACCGUGUGCCUACAAGCAGUCGGAGCCUGGCUACGGCCGGGUGACGGCGUGCCUAUUGAAGAAUGAGCCGACGAGUUACGCUUCGUGGCGAGGUUAAGCGACGGGAGUCGCGGAGCCGGAGCGAAAGCGAGUCUGAACAGGGCGU
rnacentral:rRNA from 1 species